rnacentral:rRNA from 1 species
UACAGAGGGUGCAAACGUUGCUCGGAAUUACUGGGCGUAAAGCGCGCGUAGGCGGACCUGCAAGUCGGGGGUGAAAGCCCGAGGCUCAACCUCGGAACUGCCUUCGAUACUGCGGGUCUCGAGUCCGGGAGAGGUGAGUGGAAUUCCUAGUGUAGAGGUGAAAUUCGUAGAUAUUAGGAAGAACACCAGUGGCGAAGGCGGCUCAGCUGGCCCGGUACUGACGCUGAGGCGCGAAAGCGUGGGGAGCAAACAGG